GCGAGGCGUGAAGCCGCGGCCUGCCCUGCGGUGGGGGGUGGGGGGAGCGGGGCGGGGCGAUGGAUAAACUGACCAUCAUCUCAGGAUGUCUCUUUCUGGCCGCCGAUAUCUUCGCCAUCGCCAGCAUCGCCAACCCGGACUGGAUCAACACCGGGGAGUCGGCGGGAGCACUCACUGUGGGCCUAGUGCGACAGUGUCAAACAAUCCAUGGACGAGACCGGACCUGCAUCCCUCCUCGGCUUCCCCCAGAGUGGGUCACCACCCUGUUUUUUAUCAUCAUGGGAAUUAUUUCCUUGACUGUCACAUGUGGUUUGCUGGUGGCUUCCCACUGGCGAAGAGAAGCUACAAAAUAUGCUCGAUGGAUAGCAUUCACUGGAAUGAUCCUUUUCUGUAUGGCUGCCCUAAUAUUUCCAAUAGGAUUUUACAUCAAUGAAGUCGGAGGUCAACCUUAUAAGUUACCCAACAACACAGUAGUUGGGUCAUCAUAUGUACUUUUUGUCUUAUCGAUUUUCUUCACAAUAGUAGGACUUCUCUUUGCUGGCAAAGUCUGUUUACCAGGCUGACAAAUGUCUAAAUGGCUUAACUUGUUUUUAUUUUUUAAUUUUUUUAUUUUUAGAGGUUGGGAGGACAGAGAGAAGUCAUCUGGGCAGUUCUCUCAUAGGAAGAUGCUUAGAUGAACAUGAUGCCGAAAAGGAAAAUGUUUUGAUUUGUUCUCACUAUGCACUUUGGAUUUAAAAAAAAAAAAAAAAAAAGAA